rnacentral:rRNA from 1 species
AUUGAACGCUGGCGGCAGGCCUAACACAUGCAAGUCGAGCGGAUGACGGGAGCUUGCUCCUCGAUUCAGCGGCGGACGGGUGAGUAAUACCUAGGAAUCUGCCUGAUAGUGGGGGACAACGUUUCGAAAGGAACGCUAAUACCGCAUACGUCCUACGGGAGAAAGCAGGGGACCUUCGGGCCUUGCGCUAUCAGAGGAGCCUAGGUCGGAUUAGCUAGUUGGUGAGGUAAUGGCUCACCAAGGCGACGAGCCGUAACUGGUCUGAGAGGAUGAUCAGUCACACUGGAACUGAGACACGGUCCAGAAUCCUACGGGAGGCAGCAGUGGGGAAUAUUGGACAAUGGGCGAAAGCCUGAUCCAGCCAUGCCGCGUGUGUGAAGAAGGUCUUCGGAUUGUAAAGCACUUUAAGUUGGGAGGAAGGGCAGUAAGCUAAUACCUUGCUGUUUUGACGUUACCGACAGAAUAAGCACCGGCUAACUCUGUGCCAGCAGCCGCCGUAAAAC